GCCGCCUUAGCUCAGUGGUAGAGCAGUGGUUUCGUAAACCACAGGUCCAGGGUUCGAAUCCCUGAGGCGGCUCCA
rnacentral:tRNA from 1 species